rnacentral:rRNA from 1 species
AGCUCCAAUAGCGUAUAUUAAAGUUGUUGCAGUUAAAAAGCUCGUAGUUGGAUUUGUGGUUGUGUGUAUCGGUCCUUCACAAUGUGUUGGUACUUGAUGUGUGCGACCAUCCUUGGGUGGAAUCUGUGUGGCAUUAAGUUGUCGUGCAGGGGAUGCCUAUCGUUUACUGUGAAAAAAUUAGAGUGUUCAAAGCAGGCUUAGGCCGAUGAAUAUAUUAGCAUGGAAUAAUGAGAUAGGACCUGGGUACUAUUUUGUUGGUUUGCGCACCGAGGUAAUGAUUAAUAGGGACAGUUGGGGGUAUUCGUAUUCCAUUGUCAGAGGUGAAAUUCUUGGAUUUUUGGAAGACGAACUACUGCGAAAGCAUUUACCAAGGAUGUUUUCAUUAAUCAAGAACGAAAGU